rnacentral:rRNA from 1 species
GUCUACGGCCAUGCCACCCUGAAGCUAAGCAGGGUCGGGCCUGGUUAGUACUUGGAUGGGAGACCACCUAGGAAGACCAGGCGCUGUAGGUG